rnacentral:rRNA from 1 species
AUCAUUAAAGAUUCUUCGGAUGUGCGCUUCGGCUGCACUCCGAAUCCAAUUCACACACCGUGCGCCUCGAGCGGGGAGACCCGCUCGCCUUUACAUCACACAACCAAACCAGAAUGUUCAAUACCAUAAUUAGUACAACUUUCAACAACGGAUCUCUUGGCUCUCGCAUCGAUGAAGAACGCAGCGAAAUGCGAUAAGUAAUGUGAAUUGCAGAAUUCAGUGAAUCAUCGAAUCUUUGAACGCAUCUUGCGCCCCGUGGUAUUCCGCGGGGCAUGCCUGUUUGAGUGUCACGUUAACCCUCAUCCAUGUGGUGUCAAAGCCGCAUGAAUGGAUUUGGACGCUGCCGUAGCCGGCUCGUCUUUGAAAUGCAUUAGCUGUGCGCCCAUUAGUGUGCUCGGUGCUGCCGUGAUAAUUUCCUCGGCUCGCCUUAGGCCACUUCCAGUGACGCUGCUUCCAAUGGUCCCUCGCGGACAACUGACAUAACCCUUUGGCCUCAAAUCAGGUAGGACUACCCGCUGAACUUAAGCAUAUCAAUAAGCGGAGGAA